rnacentral:rRNA from 1 species
UACGUAGGGGGCGAGCGUUGUCCGGAUUUAUUGGGCGUAAAGAGCUCGUAGGCGGUUCGGCAAGUCGACGGUGAAAUCUCCACGCUCAACGUGGAGGGGUCCGUCGAUACUGCCGUGACUCGAGUCCGGUAGGGGAGUGUGGAAUUCCUGGUGUAGCGGUGAAAUGCGCAGAUAUCAGGAAGAACACCCGUGGCGAAGGCGGCUCUCUGGGACGGUACUGACGCUGAGACGCGAAAGCGUGGGGAGCGAACAGG